UGGGGAAUAUGCACAAUGGGCGAAAGCCUGAUGCAGCAACGCCGCGUGAGGGACGACGGCCUUCGGGUUGUAAACCUCUUUUAGCAAGGAAGAGGCGAAAGUGACGGUACUUGCAGAAAAAGCGCCGGCUAACUACGUGCCAGCAGCCGCGGUAAUACGUAGGGCGCAAGCGUUAUCCGGAAUUAUUGGGCGUAAAGAGCUCGUAGGCGGUUUGUCGCGUCUGCUGUGAAAACCCGAGGCUCAACCUCGGGCCUGCAGUGGGUACGGGCAGACUAGAGUGCGGUAGGGGGAGAUUGGAACUCCUGGUGUAGCGGUGGAAUGCGCAGAUAUCAGGAAGAACACCGAUGGCGAAGGCAGAUCUCUGGGCCGUAACUGACGCUGAGGAGCGAAAGGGUGGGGAGCAAACAGGCUUAG
rnacentral:rRNA from 1 species